UCCUCUCCUGCAACUGUGCUGCAAUGUCUUGCAGGGUUAAGAAGCAACAUGGUCGUUAAAAGUCGGCAAUAUUGCCACAUGGGUCUCUUUGGAAAGACUAUUAGAUCUACGGAUGUUUCCCUCUUCCUGUCAUAUGACUGGGCUCAUGGUAGACAGGAUUCUUUCCCCUCAUCACAUGACAUGGUGCCAGAUAUCAAACUCACUUUGAAGCAACCUAAAGAAGAGGUUGAUGAAAAUGCAAAUCCUCCACCAGACUUUGAUGAGUCCCUGGAAUGACAUGAGUGCAAGGAGCUCUUCCCUGGAUUCCAGACCCCAUUAAAGAGCAGCGACC
rnacentral:lncRNA from 1 species